AACCGUACCCCAAACCGACACAGGUGGGCGAGGAGAGUAUCCUAAGGCGUUUGAGACAACUCGGAUGAAGGAACUCGGCAAAUUGGUGCCGUAACUUCGGGAGAAGGCACGCCGGUGGUAUGUGACGCCCUUCGCGGGUUGAGCAGAAGCCGGUCGAAGAUACCAGGCCCCUGCGACUGUUUAUUAAAAACACAGCACUGUGCAAACACGAAAGUGGACGUAUACGGUGUGACGCCUGCCCGGUGCCGGAAGGUUAAUUGAUGGGGUU
rnacentral:rRNA from 1 species